CCCAAAUCCUGAGCAAUAGGGUCCCCAGUGCUCCCAGUAAAAGGGAAAUGGGGGAACUGGGAGCCCCAGUAACAGAUCUAUGGGGCAACUGGGACCGCCAGGAAAAGAUAUAUGGGGUAAACUGGGCUACCAAUAAGCAAAAUUCUGACAUAAAUGACCCAAAAACUCAUUUAUGAGGUAAAUAAAGGCCCUAAAUAUCAGAUCUAUGAGGUAAAUUAGGCCUUAUGUGAGAAAAAUUCUGUCAUAAAUGACCCAAAGUGCACUUACGAUGUAAGCAAGAGGCCCAGUAAGAGAUAUAUGAGGUAAACUGGGAUCCUAGUAAGCAGAAUUCAGACAUAAUUCACCAAAAAUCACAUUUAUGAGGUAAAUAAGGCCCCAAAUAACACAUCUGUGAGGUAAACUAGGCCUUAUGUGAGAAAAAAUCUGUCAUAAAUGACCCAAAAUGCACUUCAGAGGUAAGAGAGAGGCCCAGUAAGAGAUACAUGAGGUAAACUGGGAUCCCAAUCACCAAAUUUCUGACAUAAUUCACCAAAAAUCACAUUUAUGAGGUAAAUAAGGGCCUAAAUAACAGAUCUAUGAGGUAAAUUAGGCCCUAAGUGAGGAAAAUUCUAGCAUAAAUGACCCAAAAUGCACUUAUGAGUUAAGUAAGAGGCCCAGUAAGAGAGUUGUGAGGUAAACUGGGCUCCCAGUAAGAGAUAUAUGAGGUAAACUGAGCUCCCAGUCAGCAAAAUUCUGACAUAGUUCACCAAAAAUCACAUUUAUGAGGUAAAUAAGGGCCCAAAUAACAGAUCUAUGAGGUAAAUUAGACCCUAUGUGAGGAAAAUCCUGUCCUAAGUGACCCAAAGUGCACUUACUAUGUAAGCAAGAGGCCCAGUAAGAGAUAUAUGAAGUAAACUGGGAUCCUAGUAAGCAGAAUUCAGACAUAAUUCACCAAAAAUCACAUUUAUGAGGUAAAUAAGGGCCCAAAUAACAGAUCUAUGAGGUAAACUAGGCCCUAUGUGAGAAAAAUCCUGUCAGAAAUGUCUCAAAAGUGCACUUAGGAGGUAAAUAGGAGCCCCAGUAAGAGAGCUGUGAGGUAAACUGGGCUCCCAGUAAGAGAUAUAUGAGGUAAACUCAGCUCCCAGUAAGCAAAAAUCUGAUAUAACUCACCAACAAUCACAUUUAUGAGGUAAAUAAAGGCCCAAAUAACAGAUCUAUGAAAUAAAUUUGAUCCUUCAGGAGGAAAACUCUGUCAUAAACGACCCAAAAUGGACUUAUGAGGUAAGUGAGAGGCCCAGUAAGAGAUACAUGAGGUAAACUGGGAUCCUAGUAAGCAGAAUUCAGACAUAAUUCACCAAAAAUCACAUUUAUGAGGUAAAUAAAGGCCCAAAUAACAGAUCUAUGAGGUAAAUUAGACCCCAUGUGAGGAAAAUCCUGUCAUAAAUGACCCAAAAUGCACUUAUGAGGUAAGUGAGAGGCCCAGUAAGAGAGUUGUGAGGUAAACUGGGCUCCCAGUAAGAGAUACAUGAGGUAAACUGGGCUCCCAGUCAGCAAAAUUCUGACAUAAUUCACCAAAAAUCACAUUUAUGAGGUAAAUAAGGGCCCAAAUAAGAGAUCUAUGAGAUAAAUUAAGCAUUAUGUGAGGAAAAUCCUGUCAGAAAUGUCUCAAAAGUGCACUUAUGAGGUAAUUAAGAGGCCCAGCAAGAGAUAUAUGAGGUAAACAGGGAUCCCAGUCAGCAAAAUUCUGAUAUAAUUCACCAAAAAUCACAUUUAUGAGGUAAAUAAGGCCCCAAAUAACAGAUCUAUGAGGUAAACUAGGCCUUAUGUGAGAAAAAUUCCGUCAUAAAUGACCCAAAAUGCACUUAUGAGUUAAGUGAGAGGCCCAGUAAGAGAGCUGUGAGGUAAACUCUGCUCCCAGUAAGAGAUAUAUGAAGUAAACUGGGAUCCUAGUAAGCAGAAUUCAGACAUAAUUCACCAAAAAUCACAUUUAUGAGGUAAAUAAGGGCCCAAAUAACAGAUCUAUGAGGUAAAUUAGGCCUUAUGUGAGAAAAAUCCUGUCAGAAAUGGACCAAAGUGCACUUAUGAGGAAAGUGAGAGGCCCAGUAAGAGAGCUGAGGGUAAAGUGGGCUCCCAGUUAGCAAAAUUCAAACAUAAAUGACCCAAAAACUCAUUUAUGAGGUAAAUUAGGCCCUAAAUAACAAAUCUAUGAGGUAAAUUAGGCCUUAUGUGAGGAAAAUCCUGUCAUAAGUGACCCAAAAUGCACUUAUAAGGUAAGUGAGAGGCCCAGUAAGAGAGCUGUGAGGUAAACUGUGCUCCCAGUAAGAGAUAUAUGAGCUAAACUGGUCUCCUAGUAAGCAAAAUUCUGACAUAAAUGACCCAAAAACACAUUUAUGAGGUAAAUAAGGCCCCAAAUAACAGACCUAUGAGGUUAAUUAGGCCCUGUGUGAGAAAACCCCCACCACAGAAGCCCCAUAAGGCCCAGUGUGGUCAAUGGGCUCCCAUUAACUCAGCCUUAGACCCACGGAGACCCCCGGGAACCCAACAUGACGUCACCGAACGGCCCCCAAAUCCCCUUUUUUGAGCUCAUUCCGAUGCCGGCAAUGCGAUUUUUGAAUGUAUUUCGUAGCGCUGUGAGGUAACGCGGCCUCCCCUUCCCCCCCACCCUCAGCGUGAGGCCUACGCUCCAACCCGGCCUCCCAGUGCGGGCCUGGGGGGGAACACACAGCAAAGCCAACCCCCCCCCCCCCCCAACACCCCGUCCCACAGCAGCCCACAGCACGGAAACAGGAGUUAAAUAGAAAAGAAAAAAUAAGGGUAAAAAGGAGGAAAGAUACCAACCCAACCCCCUCCACACGUACAUAAGGAGCCGCGGUCGGGCCCGGGUGGGGCCGGAACCAUUGCGGGGCUCGCGUAGAAGUGUGUGUGUGGGGGGGGGGGGAGGG
ensembl:lncRNA